GAUGAACGCUGGCGGCGUGCCUAACACAUGCAAGUCGAACGGACUUACAUUGAAGCCUAGCGAUAUGUAAGUUAGUGGCGGACGGGUGAGUAACGCGUGGGUAACCUGCCUUGUACUGGGGGACAACAGUUGGAAACGACUGCUAAUACCGCAUAAGCGCACAGCUUCGCAUGAAGCAGUGUGAAAAACUCCGGUGGUACAAGAUGGACCCGCGUCUGAUUAGCUGGUUGGUGAGGUAACGGCCCACCAAGGCGACGAUCAGUAGGGGUUCUGAGAGGAAGGUCCCCCACAUUGGAACUGAGACACGGUCCAAACUCCUACGGGAGGCAGCAGUGAGGAAUAUUGGUCAAUGGGCGAGAGCCUGAACCAGCCAAGUAGCGUGCAGGAUGACGGCCCUAUGGGUUGUAAACUGCUUUUAUAAGGGAAUAAAGUGAGUCUCGUGAGACUUUUUGCAUGUACCUUAUGAAUAAGGACCGGCUAAUUCCGUGCCAGCAGCCG
rnacentral:rRNA from 1 species